rnacentral:rRNA from 1 species
GAUGAACGCUGGCGGCGUGCCUAAUACAUGCAAGUCGAGCGAACAGACGAGGAGCUUGCUCCUCUGACGUUAGCGGCGGACGGGUGAGUAACACGUGGAUAACCUACCUAUAAGACUGAGAUAACUUCGGGAAACCGGAGCUAAUACCGGAUAAUAUAUUGAACCGCAUGGUUCAAUAGUGAAAGACGGUUUUGCUGUCACUUAUAGAUGGAUCCGCGCCGCAUUAGCUAGUUGGUAAGGUAACGGCUUACCAAGGCAACGAUGCGUAGCCGACCUGAGAGGGUGAUCGGCCACACUGGAACUGAGACACGGUCCAGACUCCUACGGGAGGCAGCAGUAGGGAAUCUUCCGCAAUGGGCGAAAGCUUGACGGAGCAACGCCGCGUGAGUGAUGAAGGUCUUCGGAUCGUAAAACUCUGUUAUUAGGGAAGAACAAAUGUGUAAGUAACUAUGCACGUCUUGACGGUACCUAAUCAGAAAGCCACGGCUAACUACGUG